rnacentral:rRNA from 1 species
UACACACCGCCCGUCACGCCAUGGGAGCUGGGGGGACCCGAAGCCGGUGUGCCAACCGCAAGAGGCAGCCGUCUAAGGUCAACUCAGUGACUGGGGCG